rnacentral:rRNA from 1 species
GACGAACGCUGGCGGCGUGCCUAACACAUGCAAGUCGAACGGUAAGGCCCCUUCGGGGGUACACGAGUGGCGAACGGGUGAGUAACACGUGAGCAACCUGCCCUUGACUUCGGAAUAACAGCUGGAAACAGCUGCUAAUACCGGAUACGACGCACGUCCUCAUGGAUGAGCGUGGAAAGCUCCGGCGGUCAAGGAUGGGCUCGCGGCCUAUCAGUUAGUUGGUGAGGUAACGGCUCACCAAGGCUUCGACGGGUAGCCGGCCUGAGAGGGCGACCGGCCACACUGGGACUGAGAUACGGCCCAGACUCCUACGGGAGGCAGCAGUGGGGAAUAUUGCACAAUGGGCGCAAGCCUGAUGCAGCAACGCCGCGUGCGGGAUGACGGCCUUCGGGUUGUAAACCGCUUUCAGCACUGACGAAGCGAGAGUGACGGUAGGUGCAGAAGAAGGACCGGCUAACUACGUGCCAGCCGCCGCAGUAACAC